GCGCAGGUGGCGAAACUGGCAGACGCACUACCUUGAGGUGGUAGCGCCCAUAAGGGCAUGGGAGUUCAAAUCUCCCCCUGCGCA
rnacentral:tRNA from 1 species